UGCUCUCGGGUGACGAGCGGCGGACGGGUGAUUAAUGUCUGGGAAACUGCCUGAUGGAGGGGGAUAACUACUGGAAACGGUAGCUAAUACCGCAUAACGUCGCAAGACCAAAGUGGGGGACCUUCGGGCCUCAUGCCAUCAGAUGUGCCCAGAUGGGAUUAGCUGGUAGGUGGGGUAACGGCUCACCUAGGCGACGAUCCCUAGCUGGUCUGAGAGGAUGACCAGCCACACUGGAACUGAGACACGGUCCAGACUCCUACGGGAGGCAGCAGUGGGGAAUAUUGCACAAUGGGCGCAAGCCUGAUGCAGCCAUGCCGCGUGUGUGAAGAAGGCCUUCGGGUUGUAAAGCACUUUCAGCGGGGAGGAAGGCGGUGAGGUUAAUAACCUUGUCGAUUGACGUUACCCGCAGAAGAAGCACCGGCUAACUCCGUGCCAGCAGCCGCGGUAAUACGGAGGGUGCAAGCGUUAAUCGGAAUUACUGGGCGUAAAGCGCACGCAGGCGGUCUGUCAAGUCGGAUGUGAAAUCCCCGGGCUCAACCUGGGAACUGCAUUCGAAACUGGCAGGCUAGAGUCUUGUAGAGGGGGGUAGAAUUCCAGGUGUAGCGGUGAAAUGCGUAGAGAUCUGGAGGAAUACCGGUGGCGAAGGCGGCCCCCUGGACAAAGACUGACGCUCAGGUGCGAAAGCGUGGGGGAGCAAACAGGAUUAGAUACCCUGGUAGUCCACGCCGUAAACGAUGUCGAUUUGGAGGUUGUGCCCUUUGAGGCGUGGCUUCCGGAGCUAACGCGUUAAAUCGACCGCCUGGGGAGUACGGCCGCAAGGUUAAAACUCAAAUGAAUUGACGGGGGCCCGCACAAGCGGUGGAGCAUGUGGUUUAAUUCGAUGCAACGCGAAGAACCUUACCUGGUCUUGACAUCCACAGAACUUAGCAGAGAUGCUUUGGUGCCUUCGGGAACUGUGAGACAGGUGCUGCAUGGCUGUCGUCAGCUCGUGUUGUGAAAUGUUGGGUUAAGUCCCGCAACGAGCGCAACCCUUAUCCUUUGUUGCCAGCGGUCCGGCCGGGAACUCAAAGGAGACUGCCAGUGAUAAACUGGAGGAAGGUGGGGAUGACGUCAAGUCAUCAUGGCCCUUACGACCAGGGCUACACACGCGCUACAAUGGCAUAUACAAAGAGAAGCGACCUCGCGAGAGCAAGCGGACCUCAUAAAGUAUGUCGUAGUCCGGAUUGGAGUCUGCAACUCGACUCCAUGAAGUCGGAAUCGCUAGUAAUCGUAGAUCAGAAUGCUACGGUGAAUACGUUCCCGGGCCUUGUACACACCGCCCGUCACACCAUGGGAGUGGGUUGCAAAAGAACUAGGUAGC
rnacentral:rRNA from 1 species